AUUGAACGCUGGCGGCAGGCCUAACACAUGCAAGUCGAACGAGUGGCAGACGGGUGAGUAAUGUCUGGGAAACUGCCUGAUGGAGGGGGAUAACUACUGGAAACGGUAGCUAAUACCGCAUACCAUCGGAUGUGCCCAGAUGGGAUUAGCUAGUUGGUGGGGUAAAGGUUCACCUAGGCGACGAUCCCUAGCUGGUCUGGGAGGAUGACCAGCCGAACUGGAAAUGAGACACGGUACAGACGCCUACGGGAGGCAGAAGUGGGGAAUAUUGCACAAAGGGCGCAAGCCGGAUGCAGCCAUGCCGCGUGUAGGAAGAAGGCCUUCGGGUUGUAAAGUACGUUCAGCGGGGAGGCGUUACCCGCAGAAGAAGCACCGGCUAACUCCGUGCCAGCCGCCGCGGUAAUAC
rnacentral:rRNA from 1 species